rnacentral:rRNA from 1 species
UACGAACUGUGCGAACGUUAUUCGGAAUCACUGGGCUUACAGGGUGCGUAGGCGGCUUAGCAAGUCAGGUGUGAAAGCCCCGGGCUCAACCUGGGAAUGGCAUUGGAAACUGGCGGACUCGAGUGUGGCAGAGGGGGGUGGAAUUCCGCGUGUAGCAGUGAAAUGCGUAGAGAUGCGGAGGAACACCGAUGGCGAAGGCAGCCCCCUGGGCUAACACUGACGCUCAGGCACGAAAGCGUGGGGAGCAAACAGG